UGCCACAGUGGCAGCCUGUUGUUCCAGGCUAUUGUUGUAUCUUACCAAUGCAGUCAAGAAAUCCUGACAGCUUGGUACAUGGACUUCUUUGCAUGCUUUAGGAGGGGAAAUAAACUGAUUCUUAAUUUUUUGCAUGAAUCAGCCGCAAGGACUGUUGACAAUAAUGUAUGGGAAGGAAUUCGCAAUUUCAAGAAAUGCCUUAUGA
rnacentral:misc_RNA from 1 species